GGGCGGUUAGCUCAGCCGGUAGAGCAGCGGACUUUUAAUCCGUUGGUCGGGAGUUCGACUCUCCCACCGCCUACCA
rnacentral:tRNA from 1 species